GGCAGAGGGUGCAAACGUUGUUCGGAAUUACUGGGCGUAAAGCGCGUGUAGGCGGCUAUGCAAGUCGGAUGUGAAAGCCCUCGGCUCAACCGGGGAAGUGCACCCGAAACUGCAAAGCUAGAGUCUCGGAGAGGAUCGUGGAAUUCUCGGAGUAGAGGUGAAAUUCGUAGAUAUCGAGAGGAACACCGGUGGCGAAGGCGGCUACCUGGACAGAAACUGACGCUGAGGCGCGAAAGCUAGGGGAGCAAACAGG
rnacentral:rRNA from 1 species